GAAGUGCGAACCAAGCGGCGGUGGAAACCGCGUAAGACUUGGAGCGGACGAGCGCAAGCACGUCCUACA
ncrna:unclassified sequences Transposase-2 RNA